rnacentral:rRNA from 1 species
AGAGUUUGAUCCUGGCUCAGGAUGAACGCUAGCUACAGGCUUAACACAUGCAAGUCGAGGGGCAGCAUGGUCUUAGCUUGCUAAGACUGAUGGCGACCGGCGCACGGGUGAGUAACACGUAUCCAACCCGCCGUCUACUCUUGGACAGCCUUCUGAAAGGAAGAUUAAUACAAGAUGGCAUCAUGAGUCCGCAUGUUCACAUGAUUAAAGGUAUUCCGGUAGACGAUGGGGAUGCGUUCCAUUAGAUAGUAGGCGGGGUAACGGCCCACCUAGUCUUCGAUGGAUAGGGGUUCUGAGAGGAAGGUCCCCCACAUGGGAACUGAGACACGGUCCAAACUCCUACGGGAGGCAGCAGUGAGGAAUAUUGGUCAAUGGGCGAGAGCCUGAACCAGCCAAGUAGCGUGAAGGAUGACUGCCCUAUGGGUUGUAAACUUCUUUUAUAAAGGAAUAAAGUCGGGUAUGCAUACCCGUUUGCAUGUACUUUAUGAAUAAGGAUCGGCUAACUCCGUGCCAGCAGCCGCGGUAAUACGGAGGAUCCGAGCGUUAUCCGGAUUUAUUGGGUUUAAAGGGAGCGUAGAUGGAUGUUUAAGUCAGUUGUGAAAGUUUGCGGCUCAACCGUAAAAUUGCAGUUGAUACUGGAUAUCUUGAGUGCAGUUGAGGCAGGCGGAAUUCGUGGUGUAGCGGUGAAAUGCUUAGAUAUCACGAAGAACUCCGAUUGCGAAGGCAGCCUGCUAAGCUGCAACUGACAUUGAGGCUCGAAAGUGUGGGUAUCAAACAGGAUUAGAUAUCCUGGUAGUCCACACGGUAAACGAUGAAUACUCGCUGUUUGCGAUAUACGGCAAGCGGCCAAGCGAAAGCGUUAAGUAUUCCACCUGGGGAGUACGCCGGCAACGGUGAAACUCAAAGGAAUUGACGGGGGCCCGCACAAGCGGAGGAACAUGUGGUUUAAUUCGAUGAUACGCGAGGAACCUUACCCGGGCUUAAAUUGCAGAUGAAUUACGGUGAAAGCCGUAAGCCGCAAGGCAUCUGUGAAGGUGCUGCAUGGUUGUCGUCAGCUCGUGCCGUAAGGUGUCGGCUUAAGUGCCAUAACGAGCGCAACCCUUGUUGUCAGUUACUAACAGGUUCUGCUGAGGACUCUGACAAGACUGCCAUCGUAAGAUGUGAGGAGGGUGGGGAUGACGUCAAAUCAGCACGGCCCUUACGUCCGGGGCUACACACGUGUUACAAUGGGGGGUACAGAGGGCCGCUACCACGCGAGUGGAUGCCAAUCCCCAAAACCUCUCUCAGUUCGGACUGGAGUCUGCAACCCGACUCCACGAAGCUGGAUUCGCUAGUAAUCGCGCAUCAGCCACGGCGCGGUGAAUACGUUCCUGGGCCUUGUACACACCGCCCGUCAAGCCAUGGGAGCCGGGGGUACCUGAAGUGCGUAACCGCGAGGAGCGCCCUAGGGUAAAACUGGUGACUGGGGCUAAGUCGUAACAAGGUA